rnacentral:lncRNA from 1 species
CUUUCUAAUAUACAAUAAACAUGCCAUUUCUAGUAUACAAUAAUUUAUACAGAAAUUUUUAGAAAAUCAUUACUUUAACCAACUUCAAUCUCUACCACUGCAUUUGGAACAAAUAAUAUUUAGUCAGAUGGAAUGCCUCUCAAAUAUUUAAAAGAACGGAGUCUCGCUCUGUCACCCAGGCUGGAAUACAGUGACGCGAUCUCUGCCCACUGCAAGCUCUGCCUAAGAAGGUUAAGUAAAGAGAAUAUCUGGCCACUUUCCUCAGUGUAUCUCAGUAAAUACUAUGUUAUUUAGCUCUUCUAUCAGCAGAUAUGUAAGCUGUUUAUUGCAUCAGUAAUUUUCAAAGAAAAUGAAUGUAAAGUAAACAGAGCAACAGAAGUGAGAGCAAAGAUUCUUUCCAGCUUUCCACAUCUUUGAAUUGAAACGAUAAGCCUCUGUCAAGUUUUAACUAGUCCUCCUUUACAUGUUCCUUUAUUUAUAGAAAUAUUUCAAGUAACAGCUUUUGUUCUCUCCAGUUAAAAACUUUGUGUGAUUUUCAUGCUGCUAAAAAGACACAUGCACAUGUAUGUUUAUUGUGGCACUAUUCACAAUAGCAAA